AAAACCAGAAGAACUUUGUUACAGAAAACAAAACAAAAAAAAAACGAGAGAGAUUAGUUGGGGGAAGAAGAAAAUGACCCCUUUUUGAUUUCUGUUCGACAGGCUUAUGCAAAAAUUGUCGUUGGCAGAGGUAGACAGCAAUAAUGUAUAUUUUACCUACACCAAAAAAAUAUGGGCUAAAUCUCACAUUAAAACACAGCAAAGGAAACUGUCUCAAGACACUGCCUACAAUGACUACGAUCCAGUGGAGAAAUGUCUGAAAUGAAAAGUGGGCCUACACCGUAUAAUAACACUCAGUUUCAAAAUAGUACAGCAAUGUGUUGUAUAUUCUUACAAAACUAUCAGCUAUCUCUCCCUCUGACGUUGGCUUUGUUGUAAAAGCAGAGAAUUUCGGCAAAGAGCCACUAACACUUAUGAAGAAUAAAAUACUGUUUAUCAGAUUAAAGAGUUAUAAUCUGCUAAUAAACAAAGAUGUACUUGAGUAUAAAUGUGAACCAAGUAUGAAAGAUUUAGAAAUGCAGCACGGUGAGAAGGUAUUCACCUCCUUUGCACAUUUCUUCUUCUGUUGCUUUUUUUUUUAUCACGCCUAAAUGUUUCAAAUUAACAAAUCUUAAGAUGGACCAGAGAUACUGUGAGUAAAACGCAAAUGGCAGAUUUCAAAUGACGUGUUUACGGAAAAAAAAAAAAAAAAAAAGCCGUCAAAAAUGACAUGGCUUCAUGGGAAAAAGCAAUUCCCCCAUAAACCCUAAUAAACUGCUUGUUCCACCCCUUGGGACAACCGCUGCCGUCACACCAUUUCUGUGGAACAACUUUGGUUGGCUUUUGCAGAGUCCUUUUAAUUUAACCACAUUAAAAGGUUUCGCAGAAUUCACGUUUCCAUUGAGAAAGGGACGUAAUCUUGGUUUUAAAGAAGCAAAGCGAACCCCGGAGCAUCACACUUCUGACUUCCAAAAUGCCGUGCCAAUUUUAUGUUACAUCUAACAGGACACACACCCUCCAAAUUGUCCUGCUCUCCUCUCACCAGUCCAUAAAACAUUUUCCAGAAAGUCUUUGGCUUCAUUAAGAUACUUCUGGCAAAUGAGAGAUGGGGCUUUUGGCCUUGCAAACCUUCAAGGAUGACAUUUUUGCCCUGUCUCUUUCUUAUGGUCGAAUGAUGAACAUUGAAAUUAACUGAGGAAAGAGAGGCAUCAGUUCAGGGCUGGAGAAAAAUCUCACUGCAGUUUUAGAACAAUUUUGGUAGAUAUGUUGAAAGUUCCCAAUUGUUCAAAGUUUUCUCUGUUUGUGUGCUAUGGCUCUCAUGUCUCAUCAGACACGAUUUCUUGUGACUUCCUAACCUCUGGUAAUAGUAAAGUCACAGUUAGGUACUUUAAAAGAAAACCUGGUUAAUUAUAGCUAAUGCAGGCAUAACAAGGGAAGCAGUUACUUUUUUAUUUGCGUAGUUAGCUUGGAGAGGUUUUUCUCUAAGUAAAUUAAAUCGCCAUUUGAAAACUGCAUUUUGGAUUUACUCAGGCUAUCCUUGCACGACAUUAAAAUUUGUUUCAAUGUCUAAAACAUUUGUGUCUGACAAAAAGAAGCAAAAUAAGCAGAAAUCUACAGGGAGGCAAAUGCUUUUUCAUGCCAUUGUAGUUCAUGUGGACUUCUCCUACUGCGAAAGGUAGUGGCGCCAAAAUUGCUCAUGAUUAUCCAAACACAAAUCAGCUUUGGCGUCAAUUUACGACUGGUAAAAUUUUGAAAUUUACAAGCAAUAAUACACUUUUUUUUAAAAAAUUAUCAGAAUACCACUGUCACAAAAAAAUGGGGGUGAGGCAUAAGAAAGUGUUUUGGUUUUCAAAGAAAGUGAAGCACUUGACACUGACAAGUAAAAUGCACACAUAUUCUUUACACACAAAUUCAUUAAAUUA